AUGACGCAACUGCUUCUGGUUGCAUUGAGGGGGCUUCUACCGGAAAACGUUCGAUUAGCCAUUGUGAAGCUAUGUGCAUUUCUCAAUGCAAUCUCUCAGAAGGUAAUCGAUCCAGAAAUCAUACCAAGGUUACAGAAUGAUUUGGUGCAAUGUCUUGUCAGUUUCGAGUUGGUGUUCGCACCAUCCUUCUUCAACAUCAUGACGCACGUCCUAGUUCACCUAUGCGAAGAGAUUAACGUUUUGGGUCCUAUAUUUCUACACAAUAUGUUCCCCUUUGAGAGGUUCAUGGGAGUCUUAAAGAAAUAUGUUCAUAACCGUGCUAGGCCAGAAGGAAGCAUCUCCAAGGGCCGUCAAAAUGAGGAGGUCAUUGAGUUUUGUAUUGACUUUAUUCCUGACCUUAAGCCGAUUGGUGUUCCUGAAUCGCGGCAUAAGGGCAGACUGGAUGGAAAAUGCAUGCUAGGAGGGGAACAAAUAAUAUGUAUGGACAGACAUUCUCUCACUGAAGCACACUACACAGUUCUACAAAAUUCCGCCUUGGUGGCUCCAUAUAUGGAUGAACACAAGAAUUUGCUACGCUCCAAACACCCGGAGCGGUCUGAUGACUGGAUUAGUUUCGCCAGCUGGUUGCAAGCACGUACCAUGCAUGACACCUCUAUUGAAGAUGACCUGUACUUGCUGUCCCAGUUACCAUUUUCGAAUAUAAUGACUUUCAAAGGGUAA
rnacentral:rRNA from 1 species